UACGAAGGGGGCUAGCGUUGCUCGGAAUGACUGGGCGUAAAGGGCGCGUAGGCGGAUGGUACAGUCAGAUGUGAAAUUCCUGGGCUUAACCUGGGGGCUGCAUUUGAUACGUGUUGUCUAGAGUGAGGAAGAGGGUCGUGGAAUUCCCAGUGUAGAGGUGAAAUUCGUAGAUAUUGGGAAGAGCACCGGUGGCGAAGGCGGCGACCUGGUCCGUUACUGACGCUGAGGCGCGAAAGCGUGGGGAGCAAACAGG
rnacentral:rRNA from 1 species